GGUCGCAGGCGACCAUGAGCAGAAAACUGCGCUGUACGCUGAUUGAUGCCCUGCACGCCCUGGAUGCCGGCCCAGUCGUCGAAAGGUUCUCAUCCCCGCUUAACUGCGGUGAAGAGGUGCAAUACUACUUCAGUGUCCACGCAGAAGACCAACUCUUCGGGGCAAACAUAGAUGCAUUCUCUCAGCCAUUUACAGGCCUCUCGAUAGCACACCCGAACCCUGACCCCACCAGUGUCAAGAAGGCAGUAAUGUGGGCAGUCGCAGGCGCAUCACACACAAUGACAUCCGCACUGCCCACCGCCACACUACUCAUUGUCUCGCACAGCCGAACUGGCCCCCACACGCAGCUACACAACACACCGUAUGUCUUCCAGCUCGCGCGGCUGAGCCGCGGUGAAGCGUGCAAGCUUACCAGCGGGACUGGAACUGACGGCCCCACCCCUGACUACAAGGGGGGCCUGGACCUCGUCGUGGUGGCCAACGACACGGCGAUCCGAGGACUAAACGCCCGAUCCAUGAAGGCGCUCCUAUCCGAACUCGAAGCGAUGGACGCCACCGGCCUCCCCAGAAAACAUCUGCGACUGCGGGACAUGUCCGCGGGUACUCACUGCGUCGGCACCCAACGACCCUACCCAAACAAAGUCGCUCAGGUCAUGCGCAAGAUGAAUGCCUCAAAGCCGCCCAGACCAAGACCAACCGCCACAGUCCCCCACUCGGACAGAUGCUCCAGCAGCGCCUGACAGCAGCUUUUCCCGGACAAGUACCACUCAGGAUGGACCCGCACACUAUCAUCUGGACCGACGGUAGCUGUAUUAAAUCGGCUGAAAACGACGGCCAGAACAAGUUGGGUGCGGCUGCAUACUGUGGACCCACCGGAAAAAC
rnacentral:lncRNA from 1 species